ensembl:rRNA 5S_rRNA 5S ribosomal RNA
GUCUAUGGCCAUACCACCCCGAACACGCCCGAUCUCGUCAGAUCUCGGAAGCAAAUCAGGGUCGGGCCUGGUUAGUACUUGGAUGGGAGACUGCUUGGGAAUACCGGGUGCCGUAGGCU